GGUUCCAGGAAGUGACGGAUAAGCUGAGGCUGAAGGAGGAAGGAGUUCCAGCAACGGGAAGGACAAGAGAAAAGAGGAUAGUGGACAGAAGCAGGUAACACACCUGUAGCCUGGUGCGAGCCGAGCCCCUAGGGACCAAAAUUUGGUAGUGACUGGUGCCUUGGGAAAUUCGGACUGCUGGCCUGCCAGUUAAAGACAUGCAGAUUACACAGCGGUUGGAUUGUAGAAAACUCUGUCUGGGAAGAGAGAGGAAGGAAGAAAUGCUUUUCAAGAGUGUUCAACAACCUGAAUUUGCAUUUGUUUGCUAGAACAAAAAGUUGGCUGAAUCAUUUUUCCAGAAAGCCAAGGUUCCUUCUGUUGUCUCUCUUGGCUGACUCGCUGGUGCCUGUGACGUCAACUACCAGCUCCAUAAUGAAUUCCAAGUGUCCUCUGGUCCGCAUCUCUCAUCUGCGAGUCUCCAAAUGGCUGCCCAACAUCGCCCUCAGAUGCCUCACUGCCACUGCAUCCUGCAAGUCUGGUCCACUUCUAGCGAGGACACCCUGUCCAUCACAUCACGCAAGUCAAAACUGUAGAAGUUCUUACUGACCCCUCCCCCCUCUCUCCCUCUCUUCCUCCCUCCCUCUCUCCCUCCCUCUCUCCCUCCCAGACAUCUGCUUAUUCCCAAUGCCUGUUCUACUCCCUGUGUAACUCUCUUAUCGCUCCCCUUAUUUCCAGCUGCCCUUCACCCACUUUCCUGGUCGGAUACCAACCGCUCACGGCUAAGCUGCCUCCCUAACUAGUCCCCCUGUCUUCCUCUGCUCUUGUACUUCUUCAGCAUAUACCCCACGUGGCCACCUAAAUGUUUUUCCUGAUCUCUCUGAUCUUAUCACCCCUUCUUAAAACCUCCAAUAGGUUCCAGCUACGUUUUGGAUAAAGCUGGGAUUCUUGAAGGGCGGCUUCCAAGACUCCAUUCUGUCAGGUACCCCCUGCCCCUGUCCUGGCAGCCCCCGCCCAGACGACACCUGUCUUCUUUGCACAUCACAUCAGAGGGCUGUGUCUCUGCCCGCCCUGCUCUUUGCCCCGCUCUUUGCUCAUAGCCUUCUGGAUCCUGCCCAUCCCCUGUGUCUGAGCUCAGGCACAGACCUGUCUUGUUCACACCUUCCCAGACCCUCAAGCUAGGCCAGGUGUCUUGUCACCUGUCUCAGAGAACGGCUCAUUUGAGCUAACACUCAGAACAGCUUCUGGUCAGACGUGUAUCUGGCAUUACUGGAUUUGUCUCCCUUGCUAGCCUGGGCCUUCUUGGGACUAGGAACUGCGUCUAUUUUUAACCAGUGUACCCUCAGACACUUGCAAGGUGCCCCACACAUUGCACCUGCUCAGUAUGUGCUCAAUGAGUGAAUAAAGCCACCAAGGCACCUCCAGAAAGGGCCUCUGAUGUCUGCAACAACUCAUCGGAAUAAUCUAACAUAGGCAGCUCUGGAAAGAAGUAUGUAUUUGAUGCCGCAAAGAGGAAUUCUAACAGAGAAGAAUGCUCAGAACCUUCUAAGACCCAUAUAUGAGGGAGAUGAAGUCUAGCUUGUCAGUUUCAUGAUGAGUUGGAUGUUUCUUCUCCUGGAGGAUUGUGACUAAUGUAACAUGACCGCAGAUAUAAUUA